rnacentral:rRNA from 1 species
UUCUGGGCCGCACGCGCGCUACACUGAUACGUGCAUCGAGCUUACAACCUAGGUCGAGAGGCCCGGGUAAUCUUUUCAAAUCGUAUCGUGCUGGGGAUAGAUCAUUGUAAUUAUUGAUCUUCAACGAGGAAUUCCUAGUAAGCGCGAGUCAUCAACUCGCACUGAUUACGUCCCUGCCCUUUGUACACACCGCCCGUCGCUGCUACCGAUUGAAUGCAUUAGUGAGCUGCAAGGACCGUCCUUCUGGGGGUCAAACCCUGGUUGGGUGGGAAUUGCCGCAAACUUGCGCAUUUAGAGGAAGCAAAAGUCGUAACAAGGUAUCCGUAGGUGAACCUGCGGAUGGAUCAUUAAACAAAUCCACGUAUCAACCAACGCGCACUUGUUAUUUUGGUAAAAACACCGCUCCCGCGGUGCAAGUAGCCAAAACCCUUUUUUUAACCCAUUGUACCAUUUUAAAGUAUUCUUUUUUCUUUGUCGCGGCCGAAAGGCGGACUUUCUUAAUGUAAGAAAUUUAUGUACAACUCUUAACAACGGAUAUCUAGGCUCUCGGAUCGAUGAAGAACGCAGCGAAAUGCG